UACGUAGGGUGCGAGCGUUGUCCGGAAUUACUGGGCGUAAAGAGCUCGUAGGUGGUUUGUCGCGUUGUUCGUGAAAACUCACAGCUUAACUGUGGGCGUGCGGGCGAUACGGGCAGACUGGAGUACUGCAGGGGAGACUGGAAUUCCUGGUGUAGCGGUGAAAUGCGUAGAUAUCUGGAGGAACACCGGUGGCGAAGGCGGCAUCCUGGACCGGCAUUGACGCUGAGGAGCGAAAGCCAGGGGAGCAAACGGG
rnacentral:rRNA from 1 species